AUUGAACGCUGGCGGCAUGCUUUACACAUGCAAGUCGAACGGUAACAGGGUGCUUGCACCGCUGACGAGUGGCGAACGGGUGAGUAAUGCGUCGGAACGCACCGAGUAAUGGGGGGUAACGCAGCGAAAGCUGUGCUAAUACCGCAUACGCUCUGAGGAGGAAAGCAGGGGAUCGUAAGAACUUGCGUUAUUCGAGCGGCCGACGUCUGAUUAGCUAGUUGGUGGGGUAAAGGCCCACCAAGGCGACGAUCAGUAGCGGGUCUGAGAGGAUGAUCCGCCACACUGGGACUGAGACACGGCCCAGACUCCUACGGGAGGCAGCAGUGGGGAAUUUUGGACAAUGGGCGCAAGCCUGAUCCAGCCAUGCCGCGUGUCUGAAGAAGGCCUUCGGGUUGUAAAGGACUUUUGUCAGGGAGCAAAUGCCGGCGGCUAAUAUCCGCUGGAGCUGAGAGUACCUGAAGAAUAAGCACCGGCUAACUACGUGCCAGCAGCCGCGGUAACAC
rnacentral:rRNA from 1 species